rnacentral:lncRNA from 1 species
AUGCCCCCAGAGGCCCGGCCCCAACCAGGGACAGCCCCAGCUUCCAGGCCUGGGCUCAGCCCAAAAGUCAUUGCCUGCCUCCCAAGGCUGUGGCUCCAGGACCCUCGGCUGCCGCUGAGCACGCCCCACCCAAGCACUGCCCGCACUUCACACCACCCCCAACCCUGGGUCAGCAGGGGGGAGGCAGCUGGGAGGGUCGCCCCAAGUCUGGGUGGAGAGGGGGCGGAAUGUGCGCUGCAGGUGCAAGGAGGAGGGCAGGACUCGCCAGCGCCUGAGGUCAAUGUGAACGCGGUGCCUGCAAUGGUCCUGGGGGUGGCCGAGUCACACGCCUCCGGCCGGGUCAGCAGACAUGGUCUCAGGGACCCCUACCAUGUCGAUACACAUGCCGUGCUCGCUCGACUGCUGCCAGGUGACAAGCGGUGGCUCUCCUGGGCCUGGGUGUCCAGCCCCGGGGACAGGGGCCACCAGGGGGCCACUCCCAGCCCUUCCCCUCCUGGAGGGUUAAGUGUCCCCUGGGGGCAGGAGCGGAACAGGCUCCCUGGGCCUCUUUCUCCCUUGGAAAAAUUGCUCUGCUCCUGCCAGCUACCCCUUGACAAACCCUGGGCUGGCCCCUCCCUGCCCUCGGCCGGCACCUGCCUCUCCCCAGGCCCUCCAGCUCCUGGGUGGGCAGCCGGGGCACUGACCACCUGGAGGCCUGUCCACCUGGAGGUACAGGCCGCUGCCCGGCUGUCAACACCACCACACUGCUCUCCCCGUGGCCUCCUCAGAGAUCCUCUUAGGACACAGACCCAACGGCACCAAUCCCGCUCCUGCUUGACCCCCUUGACAAGACCCAAAGUGUCGAAUGAGCCGGCUGCUGACCCCUUUAGCCUCGUUCCCCCCACACACCCUCCCACCUUACCUCCACCCGCCCGCCCCAACACACCUUCCCUCCACUACCCAGCCGCAAGACCCCAGGGGGCUGAGCUCUGCUGUCUUUGCGCCCCAACUUCCUCAGCUCGGACAUCCCCCCAAAACCAGUCUGACUUACCCCGCAUCUCAGGUGAGUUGCCGCCUCCCCCAGGAAGCCCCUCCCCAGCAGGGUUGGAGGGCCCUCGCUGCGCUCCCAUGGCCCUCGUUAGGGUGCUGAGCACUUGGGGCUGUCAUUGUCUAUUGUCCUGCUGUCCCCCCAACGCUGCUGCUGCCCCUGCACCCGGCACAGCGUCGGCGGAGGCCCCACCCGGGUGA